GCAUAUCAAUAAGCGGAGGAAAAGAAACCAACAGGGAUUGCCCUAGUAACGGCGAGUGAAGCGGCAACAGCUCAAAUUUGAAAUCUGGCUUCGGCCCGAGUUGUAAUUUGCAGAGGAAGCUUUAGGCGCGGCACCUUCUGAGUCCCCUGGAACGGGGCGCCAUAGAGGGUGAGAGCCCCGUAUAGUUGGAUGCCUAGCCUGUGUAAAGCUCCUUCGACGAGUCGAGUAGUUUGGGAAUGCUGCUCAAAAUGGGAGGUAAAUUUCUUCUAAAGCUAAAUACCGGCCAGAGACCGAUAGCGCACAAGUAGAGUGAUCGAAAGAUGAAAAGCACUUUGAAAAGAGGGUUAAAUAGCACGUGAAAUUGUUGAAAGGGAAGCGCUUGUGACCAGACUUGCGCCGGGCUGAUCAUCCGGUGUUCUCACCGGUGCACUCUGCCCGGCUCAGGCCAGCAUCGGUUCUCGCGGGGGGAUAAAGGCCCUGGGAAUGUAGCUCCUCCGGGAGUGUUAUAGCCCGGGGUGUAAUACCCUCGCGGGGACCGAGGUUCGCGCAUCUGCAAGGAUG
rnacentral:rRNA from 1 species